rnacentral:rRNA from 1 species
AUUGAACGCUGGCGGCAUGCUUUACACAUGCAAGUCGAACGGCAGCGAAGAGAAGCUUGCUUCUCUGUCGGCGAGUGGCGAACGGGUGAGUAUAGCAUCGGAACGUGCCAAGUAGUGGGGGAUAACCAAGCGAAAGUUUGGCUAAUACCGCGUAAGCUCUAAGGAGGAAAGUAGGGGACCGCAAGGCCUUACGCUAUUUGAUCGGCCGAUGUCGGAUUAGCUAGUUGGUGAGGUAAUGGCUCACCAAGGCGAUGAUCCGUAGCGGGUCUGAGAGGACGAUCCGCCACACUGGGACUGAGACACGGCCCAGACUCCUACGGGAGGCAGCAGUGGGGAAUUUUGGACAAUGGGGGGAACCCUGAUCCAGCCAUGCCGCGUGUAUGAAGAAGGCCUUAGGGUUGUAAAGUACUUUUGUUAGGGAAGAAAAGCUAGUUUUGAAUAAAGAUUAGUGCUGACGGUACCUAAAGAAUAAGCACCGGCUAACUACGUGCCAGCCGCCGCCGUAACAC